rnacentral:rRNA from 1 species
UACGGAGGGUGCAAGCGUUAUCCGGAUUCACUGGGUUUAAAGGGUGCGUAGGCGGGCAGGUAAGUCAGUGGUGAAAUCUCCGAGCUUAACUCGGAACUGCCGUUGAUACUAUUUGUCUUGAAUAUUGUGGAGGUAAGCGGAAUAUGUCAUGUAGCGGUGAAAUGCUUAGAUAUGACACAGAACACCAAUUGCGAAGGCAGCUUACUACACAACGAUUGACGCUGAGGCACGAAAGCGUGGGGGAUCAAAACAGG